rnacentral:rRNA from 1 species
AGUGAACGCUGGCGGUAGGCCUAACACAUGCAAGUCGAACGGCAGCACAGAGGAGCUUGCUCCUUGGGUGGCGAGUGGCGGACGGGUGAGGAAUACAUCGGAAUCUACUCUGUCGUGGGGGAUAACGUAGGGAAACUUACGCUAAUACCGCAUACGACCUACGGGUGAAAGCAGGGGAUCUUCGGACCUUGCGCGAUUGAAUGAGCCGAUGUCGGAUUAGCUAGUUGGCGGGGUAAAGGCCCACCAAGGCGACGAUCCGUAGCUGGUCUGAGAGGAUGAUCAGCCACACUGGAACUGAGACACGGUCCAGGCUCCUACGGGGGUCAGCAGUGGGGAAUAUUGGACAAUGGGCGCAAGCCUGAUCCAGCCAUACCGCGUGGGUGAAGAAGGCCUUCGGGUUGUAAAGCCCUUUUGUUGGGAAAGAAAUCCAUCUGGUUAAUACCCGAGUGGGAUGACGGUACCCAAAGAAUAAGCACCGGCUAACUUCGUGCCAGCAGCCGCCGUAA